AUUCCUCUCGUGCCGGUAAUCACGACGUCCAGACGAUUUGGAAUGACAGUUUAAACGCUUCAGAUUAAAGCAACGCUCUGUUAGAAGGGGAUCAGUCUUUCCUUACUGCGAUGGGUGCACGGGCAGCCAAGCCCGCGGCGAGACGUGCAUGGACCCGCCCAGGGACCCCCCAAACAAGCGCACGUUCCACCUGUGACACUGAAAUGGCUCAAAGGCCACAAGGCCAGGUCAACACAGUCAUCACAGGCCACAAGGCCAGGUCAACACAGUCAUCACAGGCCACAAGGCCAGGUCAACACAGUCAUCACAGGCCACAAGGCCAGGUCAACACAGUCAUCACAGGCCACAAGGCCAGGUCAACACAGUCAUCACAGGCCACAAGGCCAGGUCAACACAGUUAUCACAGGCCACAAGGCCAGGUCAACACAGUUAUCACAGACCACAAGGCCAGGUCAACACAGUCAUCACAGGCCACAAGGCCAGAUCAAUAUAGAGGAAAGAAAUGAAGCCGUUUUCUUCCCCAGUAUUAGUUACCUGAUGAUUAAGAUGACCCACCUCCUGCUAAUGGUGUUUCGUAUACACAAUAACAAUUUCCAUACUAUAAUAACUAUUUCUGAGUGGGUGGAAAGGCUUACAAGGCCUAGAUUUCACCCAGUACAGCAUCAUAUAGGCUCAAAACCCUCUGCAUUAAUGUAUA
rnacentral:lncRNA from 1 species